UCACAUAUGGCUCAGAUGGUAAAGUGUCUGCCUGCGAUGCAGGAGACCCAAGUUCGAUCCCUGGAUUGGGAA
rnacentral:tRNA from 1 species